AUUGAACGCUGGCGGCAGGCCUCACACAUGCAAGACGAGCGGUUGAGGGGAGCUUGCUUCUGGAUUCAGCGGUGGAUGGGUGAGUAAUGCCUAGGAAUCUGCCUGGUAGUGGGGGACAACGUUUCGAAAGGAACGCUAAUACCGCAUACGUGCAACGGGAGAAAGCAGGGGACCUUUGUGCCUCGCGCUAUCAGAUGAGCCUAGGUCGGAUUAGCUAGUUGGUAAGGUAAUGACUCACCAAGGCGACGAUCCGUAACUGGUCUGAGAGGAUGAUCAGUCCCACUGGAACUAGGACACAGUGCAGACUACUACGGGAGGCAGCAGUGUGGAAUAUUGGACACUGGGGGAAAGCCUGAUGCAGCCAUGCCGCGUGUGUGAAGAAGUUCUUCGGAUUGUAAAACACUUUAAGUUGGGAGGAAGGGUUGUAGAUUAAUACUCCACAAUUUUGACGGUACCGACAGAAUAAGCACCGGCUAACUCUGUGCCAGCCGACGCGGUAAUAC
rnacentral:rRNA from 1 species